AGGGUCCACCUGGCAGAUUAGGCCCCUCUGGAAGAAUUGGACCAUCGACACCAGGUUUGCCCGGCAACAGAGGAGAGGAUGGAAAGAGUGGAAACCCUGGAGCAAAGGGCAGUCACGGUGAGACGGGGAGGCUCGGUCUUCACGGAAUCAGAGGAGACAUGG